GUCUACGGCCAUGCCACCCUGAACAAACCCGAUCCCAUCUGAUCUCGGAAGCUAAGCAGGGUUGGGCCUGGUUAGUACUUGGAUGGGAGACCACCUAGGAAGACCAAGUGCUGUAGGCG
rnacentral:rRNA from 1 species